rnacentral:rRNA from 1 species
AGCAGUAGCCGCGGGAAUACGGAGGGUGCAAGCGUUAAUCGGAAUUACUGGGCGUAAAGCGCACGCAGGCGGUCUGACAAGUCAGAUGUGAAAUCCCCGGGCUUAACCUGGGAACUGCAUUUGAAACUGUCAGGCUGGAGUCUUGUAGAGGGGGGUAGAAUUCCAGGUGUAGCGGUGAAAUGCGUAGAGAUCUGGAGGAAUACCGGUGGCGAAGGCGGCCCCCUGGACAAAGACUGACGCUCAGGUGCGAAAGCGUGGGGAGCAAACAGGAUUAGAUACCCCAGUAGUCCCUGUCUCUUAUAC